rnacentral:rRNA from 1 species
CAAACGACUCUCGGCAACGGAUAUCUUGGCUCUCGCAUCGAUGAAGAACGUAGCAAAAUGCGAUACCUGGUGUGAAUUGCAGAAUCCCGUGAACCAUCGAGUUUUUGAACGCAAGUUGCGCCCGAGGCCUUCUGGCCGAGGGCACGUCUGCCUGGGCGUCACG